rnacentral:lncRNA from 1 species
ACUUAUCUAAUUGAUACGCACUAAAGAAAGUAGAAUGAAGAAGAUCGCAGAAAGAAUAUGAAUCACACACAAGAUUUGUUUACCCAGGGUUCACUUCCAAAUCGGAAGCUAUGUCCCUAGAGCUUGACGGCACAAGCAAAUGAUUCCACUAGAUAACAACUUGUACAGAGAGUUUUCCCGAGAAGACGAUACAACAAAGACUCAAGAACACCUCUCAGAUCUCUCCAGCUCUCGACUCUCACUCUCUCAAUGUUAUCCAGAUCUAACUAACAGACUAACCUUAUCCUCUCAUCUAGAUAGAGAAGAACCGACUCACCUUAAGCUAACCAGCUCAACAACCAACUUGGUUAUCACCAAUUAACUCCUGAAUCAAUUAGGCAUAUAACCAAACCGGUAUACACUUAAUUAAACCUAUGAUGAUAUCAUAUCUUUUCCAACAAUCUCCACCUUGAUAUCAACACAGUUUUAUGUCUGUAUCUUAUGACGUCAAGCGUAGCCAUUCUCUCAGCACCUGGCUACUCUGAGCAUAGCUAAAGCCUGCUCAAACUUUUGUACUGGUAUCACCUUCGUAAGAAUGUCAGCUGGAUUCUUCGAAGUAUGAAUCUUCUCUACUACUACUUCUCUUUGUUCCACUGUAUCUCUGACAAAAUUCAUCUUCACAGCCAUGUGCUUGGUCCGCUCAUGAAAAACAUUGUUUUUGGCAAGACAAAUUGCACUCUGCGAGUCACAGUGAACAUUCACGAUGUCUUGCUUAAAACCUAACUCUUCUGCCAAACCCCGAAGCCAUAUUCCUUCCUUUAUGGCCUCUGUCAAAGCUAUAUACUCUGCCUCGGUAGUCGACAACGCAACAAUAUGCUGAAGACUUAAUUUCCAACUCACGGUGUUUCCUCCUGCAGUAAACACGUAACCAGAAGUAGAUCUUCUUUUGUCCAAAUCACCUGCGAAAUCUGAAUCUGAGUAACCAACAAUCUUCAUAUCUCCUGUGCCUUUCUUAAACACUAGACCCUUAUCCUGAGACCCUUUCAAAUACUUCAGUAUCCACUGAACUGCCGUCCAAUGUACUUUACCAGGAUUACUCAUAAAACGACUUACCAACCCUAUAGCAAAAGCAACAUCUGGCCUUGUUCCUAUCAUGGCAUACAUGAUACUUCCAACCGCAUUGCAAUAAGGUACCUCACCAGAGCUUUCUUCACCAUCCUUUAGAGCUGCUAGUUUAAAGUGUGAUCCUAUAGGAGUAAUGACUGACUUUGCUUCAUCCAUCCUGAACACUUGAAGGACUUUCCUGAUGUAGUUUGACUGAGAUAAAGUAAGGACUCCACCUUUUCUAUCUCUUACUAUAUUCAUCCCCAAGAUUCGCUUAGCUGCUCCUAAGUCUUUCAUUUCAAACUCAGUAUUCAAAAGUCUCUUAACCUUUUCUAUUUCGACCAUACUCUUAGACACAACCAGCAUGUCAUCAACGUAUAAGAGUAAGUAGACAUAUACCUCAUUCUCCAGCAUUUUAAUGUAUAUGCACAUAUCGAAAUCACUUUUGACGAACCCAUGCUUGAUCAUGAAUUGAUCAAAGCAUUUGUUCCACUGUCUGGGGGCUAGUUUCAGUCCAUACAAGGACUUUUGAAGAUGACACACCUUAUUAUUCUUUCCCUUUACUUCAUACCCAAUUGGUUGUUCCAUAUAGAUGUCUUCCUCUAUGCUUCCAUGCAGAAAAGCUGUUUUACGUCUAGUUGCUCUAGUUCUAAGUCCAGGUCGACAACAAUAGACAACAUCAGCCUUAUAGAGACAUGCUUCACAACUGGUGAGAAAAUUUCCUGGUAGUCUAUACCCUCUCUCUGAGAAUAACCUUUGGCUACCAGUCUAGCCUUGUACCUACGCUUCUCAACACCAGGUAUUCCAGGCUUCAACUUGAACACCCAUUUGCACCCUAUCAACUUUUGACCUUCUGGAAGAUCACUGAGAGUCCACGUCUUGUUCUUACUCAGCGAUCUCAUCUCUUCAUCACAGGCCUCCUUCCAUUUAUCCCAGUUUUUACUUUCCUGAGCUUCAAAAUAGUCUCUCGGUUCCUCUGACUCUAUUUCUUCAGCUACGGAGAGAGCAAAAGGAACUUCACUGUCAUCAUUGAACCUUGCUGGUUUAACAAUAACUCAACGUUCACGAUCUCUGGCAAGUUGGUAGUUAGUCAGAUCCACUUGUUCACUUCUAGAGUCUUCUACAUCAUCUGACUGAGCUUCGAUGACUCCACCUUGUUCUAGAUUCUCUUCGUCAGUAGUACUAGAACCUACAGAAUCCUCUGUAAAUCUAAUAAGAACCUGGUUCUUUCCAGUAGCUUCGUUAUUCCCAGGUGACUCAUUUGAUUUAAUGUUCUUCAUUAAGUCCUUAUACAUCACGUUCUCGGUGAACACAGCAUUUCUACUGAUCACACACUUCUUUCAUCUAUGAGCCAAACUUUAUAUCCCUUCACGCCAGUUGGAUAUCCAAUGAAGACCCCUUUUAGGGUUCUAGGCUUCAGCUUCCCUUGAUCCACAUGAAUGUAUACCACCGAACCAAAUUUCCUUAAGUGUCGAUACCCUGGAACUCUUCCCAGCCAAAUUUCCUUAGGAAUGUUGAAAUCAUUUGCAGAUGACGGAUUCCUAUUGAUGACAUACACAGAAGUAGCUACCGCUUCUGCCCAAAACUUUUCUUCAAGCCCUGACUCAUUUAGAAGUCACCGCACCUUCUCCAUAAUAGUCCUGUUCAUACGUUCAGCAACUCCAUUUGGCUGUGGAGUGUAUGAACAGGUCCUAUGUCUUUCUAUCUCAUGCUCCUUGCAAAAAUUAUCAAAGGCUGAGUUGCAGAACUCUAAGCCGUUGUCUGUUCUUAGACAUUUCACAUUCUUACUUGACUGAUUUUCAACCAGAAUUUUCCAUUCACAUAACUUGCUGAACGCUUCAUCCUUUGUCCCUAAAAAAUAAACCCAGACUUUUCUUGAAUGGUCAUCGAUCACUGAUAGAAAAUACUGCUUCUUCGAGAGUGAUAGUUGAACGUUCGGAGACCCCCAGAGAUCUGAAUGGACAUACUUUAAGACCUCCUCAGUGUUAUGUUUCCCUACACUGAAACUCAGUCUUUUACUCUUGCCCAUAACAUAGUUCUCACAGAACUCCAUUUCGGUAAUUUUCUUCUUAUCAAGAACUCCCUUCUCAACUAACGCCUUCAGGUUCUUCAUACUGGUGUGAUCCAGACGACCGUGCCAUAAGGCUGUUUCGUCUUUCUCAACAGCUGCAUUUGAUUCUCCAGUGACUGUGACUCCAUCAAGUAAGUACAGACUUCCCUUUAAUGUCCCUUGAAGACCCAGUUUUCCAUCCUUGUAGAACUUGACCUUGCCUCCUCCACCUUCUUGCUUAAAUCCCUGCAAGUCAAGAGUAGAUACUGAAAUCAAAUUUCUUUUAAGAUUCGGGACAUACCUGACAUUAAUCAGCCGCUUGAUGUUUCCUCCAGUAGUGUUGAUUUUGACUGUGCCUAUCCCUUGUACCGCGACUGCUCGAUCAUCAGCUAACAGCACUUAACCACCAACACUCUCAGUUAUCUCCUCAAACCAAUCUCGUCUUGACGUCAUAUGGUAGGAGCACCCUGAAUCGAUCACCCAUUGAUCCUUUGGUGAUUGGUCAGAGAUAGACAAGGCAUCUAUCUCUUGCAGUUUAUCUACCAUUACAGCUGCUUCUCCUGAUUCAGUCUUCAUCUUCCUCUUUCGAGCAUAGCAAUCUUUCUUGAUGUGUCCCUCCUUCUUGCAGUACCAGCAAGUAACUCUGGAGCUGGAUCUAGAUCGAGAUUUAUUUCUGUUCCUUCUGUUGAAUCCUUCACGUUUCUCUGACCUCCCUUGUGCCAUAUGUGCUUCGCCUGCUCCUUGUGACGUGCUAGAGGUCUUGGACUCCAGCAACUCUAUCUCCUUUGACUUCGCGGAAUUUUUAACUUCUUCUAAAGACAAAGUAUCUCGUCCGUACUUCAGUGUUUCUUUGAGCUGAUUGUCCUGAGAUGGUAAGGAGCUCAGCAGCAUGAUUGCCUGCACUUCAUCAGAAACAGAAACGUUCACAUUACCUAGAUCCGCAACUAAUUUCAAGAAAUCAUCUAUGUUCUGAUCUAUAGUCUUAGAUUCUACCAUCUUUAACGUAUAGAAUCUAUGCUGUAGAUGAAUUCGAUUAGGAAGAGUUUUGGAGAGAUACAACCUUUCCAGAGUUGACCAUACUGAUGCAGUGGUUGUGCACUGACACGCAUCUAGCUUCCUCAGGACGUGAUCUCCAAGAUUUAGAGUCAAAAUAUCCAUCGCCAUCUCUGCCUUCGCAAGACGAUCCGCCUCAGCUUUUGCCCGAUCUGCUUCCGCCUUGAGCUGUCUUGCUUUGAAGUCCUCCUUUUCAUCACUCUUUAUUGUGAUUUCUUCAGUACCAGAACUCGAUUCUGGUGUUGUUUCCAUCAACGCACCCUUCAAUCCGAGUAUCGAUAGAUGUGCAAGUAUUCUUUUCUUCCACAUCGAGAAGUCGCCUUGUCCAUCGAACACCGCUACUUCGAUGCGAGCAUUCGACAGUGGUUUCCCCAUGGAUUCAAGCGAAUCUGGAUCUGAUACCACUUGUAGUAUAUCGUGCUCAAAUCUUUGGCCUUCGAUUUGCUCUAAAGAAAGUAGAAUGAAGAAGAUCGCAGAAAGAAUAUGAAUCACACACAAGAUUUGUUUACCCAGGGUUCACUUCCAAAUCGGAAGCUACGUCCCUGGAGCUUGAUGGCACAAGCAAAUGAUUCCACUAGAUAACAACUUGUACAGAGAGUUUUCCCGAGAAGACGAUACAACAAAGACUCAAGAACACCUCUCAGAUCUCUCCAGCUCUCGACUCUCACUCUCUCAGUGUUAUCUAGAUCUAACUAACAGACUAACCUUAUCCUCUCAUCUAGAUAGAGAAGAACCGGCUCACCUUACGCUAACCAGCUCAACAACCAACCCGGUUAUCACCAAU